ACGGACGCCCACCCCACAUGAGUCCUGCCGUCUCUGCGGGUCGUAGUUUCACAAUGUCCUGUUCCUCCCUGCCACAUGCGGGGAGAUGUGACCCUCAGGACAGCUGCAGCCCCGAGGCGGCGUCCACUCCACACACCUGGCCCUGUUUGCUCGGCGAAUACCUCCCGGCCGAGCAGACCAGGCUCUGGUCCUGUGGCUCAAGGAUCCCCUCAGCCUCGGGGCUGCACCCUCCCCAGGGCCACAGUGGAGCCUGCUCCCCUCUUGUCCUCAGUGGACACUUCUUGGCAGUUCAGCUCAAAAGACAGGGACUUGGCGCCUCCCUCUGCUGGGUCUUGUCCUCUGGGGCGCCCGGGGGCAGCCUGGCCAUGCUGAGCCUGCACACCCUGGGGCCAGCUGGACGGAAGCUGUGCUCCUUCAGUGCUUUCAGCUGAGCUGGGCAGAUUCUGGAGACUCCACAGCGUGCCCGAGUCUGCCCACCCCUCCAGGAGCCCAGGAGCCCCGGCUCUUGGCCAGGCUUGGAAGAGGAGUCAUCUGCGUAGACCUUGAUCCUAGGGGGAAGCCUCCUCUGACAACUGCCCACAGCUUGGACACCACCACAGGAGAGCCGCAAAGCUGAUGAUCUCAGAAGCCCAGAGAUGGACACAGACGCUCUCCUGGCAUCGACAGCCUAGCUUCUCUCCCGUCCUCCCAAGGGGCGUGCACACACACACACAUACACACACACACACACACACACACACACGUGCGCGCAACUCAGGGGAGUUAGUGCCCACAGAGUCACCCAGAGUGGUGGGGACACAUGAUGAACAGAUCUUGUCCCCUGCUAUGUGCUCAGUGCUGAGUGAGGCCCCUGGGGCUGGGCACCAGUUGCCAUAGCGAUGGCGACUCCCGAAGCGUCUCUGCUGGCUCAGCCCCUCGCCUCUUUCCUCCCUCCUCCCCACUCCUGCUCCCUGAAUCCAUUUUUCCAGAGAAGCCACCUGCAAAUAAAGCCAGCUUAUCGCGCAGGCUUUGCUUUCGGGAGAAUCCAGCCAAGACGUAACUUGAAUUUAUCGACACUAGAGGUCACUAAGGUGGAUGGGGGAUGAUGGAGUUGAGCUGCUAGAUGGGACCUUUGGUCCUGAUGGAGAUGGGGACUGGGGACACGGUGGAGAGACAGAUGAAUGGCAGAACUGAAGGUCUGGACUCAGGAGACAACCCGUGGUUGCCUGCUGAAGCUGCUGACGCUGCUCUAAAGCCCCGGCCAGUUCAUCCCCAUACCUGUUCACCCCAGUGGGCGCGGCUGCGUGGCGACAUUGAGGAAGAAUGCGUUAGAUCUGUGUCGAUCCACAAGGAAGGGGGCCCAUCCGAUAUUGGGCUCUGCGGCAUGCAUGUGCGAAACGUGUGGCCAAGUCCCAAACUGGCUGCGGAGCUCACUCGGCGGAGAGAAGGCCCAGUGGGAGGGGACGAACUUUCCCUUACUUCUCGUGUCACUUGUUUCUCUUGCCGUUGACUUUGAAGGCCAGCUUAAUAUUAUCAUUAUUGUGUAAUCACGUUAAAAAGCCUGAUGUGAUGAGUUUGGACACACGUGCACCUGUCAAGCCCCCCCCCUUCAGCUCCUCCCUGCCUCCCCGCCCAGGCGUGUCCCCAGGAUCAAACCCAGGGCCGUGCACGUGCUAGGCCAGAACCUCCAGCAUGGGACACGGCAGGACUGGCCAGGGCAGACACAGCAGCUCCUGCUCAUGCCUGACGGCUCUCGCCUUCCCGGCUCACUGCAGGGCUUUCACAGACGCCCCACGCCAGGUG